UGACAACAGGGGCAGGCUGCUGGAAGGAGGUGACCUUUCCCCAUGGUUCUCCACUGGUUCCUUGUGGCCAUUCUGUGCCCUGUGGGCCACGCUCUUCAGCAGUCACCAGACACAGUUGUCCGAGUGGGAGACUCUGUUACUCUGAAAUGUUCCCUUAAGGGGAGUGUAUUCUCAACCAUCUCCUGGUACAAGUUGCUCAUGGGGAAGGAUACCGGUCUGCAGCUGGUUGUAUACUCUGUGGAAGGAGGCAUGGCAGAGAUUGAGCAGGAAUUCAGAAACCGCUUCAAGAGUAAUGGGACUAAGGGCGGUCACUUAUCUGUGGAGAUAGAUCAUGCCCUACUCAAUGACUCAGGGACAUAUUUCUGUGCUGAGCAAGAUGCACAGUGA